rnacentral:rRNA from 1 species
CAUGGCUCAGGACGAACGCUGGCGGCGUGCCUAAUACAUGCAAGUCGAACGAACCGCGACUAAGUGCUUGCACUAAGUCAAGGUGAGUGGCGAACGGGUGAGUAACACGUGGGUAACCUACCUCAUAGUGGGGGAUAACAGUCGGAAACGACUGCUAAUACCGCAUAGGACAUAGGAUCACAUGAUUCAGUGAGGAAAGGUGGCGCAAGCUAUCGCUAAGAGAUGGACCCGCGGUGCAUUAGCUAGUUGGUAGGGUAACGGCCUACCAAGGCGAUGAUGCAUAGCCGACCUGAGAGGGGGUGGGGCCACAUUGGGACUGAAACACGGCCCAAACUCCAACGG